CAUAAUGAAGUUAUGUAACUUUAGCAUGAUGCCCAAUAACCAACGACUUCCCAAAUCCAGUAAUGUUGUCACAACCUAAUUCCUUUGGAUAAGAUGACCAAUGGCUUUUACAACGCCAGAACAGAUGGUGGCAGUAGUGUGCGGAUUGUGUGUGGCAGCCGGAAACAACGAGCUUGCCGAGUUCUUUGACUGAAUACAUAUCCGCGGACACUCUGAAGGCGGCAUUCAAGAUGUUUGUAGGGUCCUCACCUCAGCUACCUCUCACAAGGUGCCCCUGAAAAAGAAAUUCAAGACGUUUGGGUCCUCAGCUCAACUGACCAAGACCUUUGCUCAUUGAAGGCAUGAAGUAAUUUGUGAUGCCCCCACGAUUGCAGUUUUUAAACGCAGAUGGCUUGCUCUUUUUAACAUGUGCGAGAGCUGGAUGGUCUUUCAACAACACUGCUCCGGGUCUUCAGCAAGAAAGGUGCUUCUCAUGCAAGGAAGAUACAGAGGAUCCUGGUGCCCAUGACUCAGGUAAAACAUGCACACUGCCAUGCAUCACAGUAAUGCUAAAAUUUCAAGAUCUAAUGUAAUGGGGAGAAGUAGGGUGUCUUGGAUCAUA